rnacentral:ribozyme from 14 species
ACGAACCGAUCGAAAGAAGAAGACAAAGAAGAAAGAAAAGUAGUACACGAAUCUUCUUCUCGUUUUCGUCGUUUUCGUCGUCUCAGGAGAAAGCGUUCUUCUUCUUCCUCUUCUUCGUUCUCAUUCG